UUGGUCAGCUUCGGGUGACUCAAGCCAUGCCUUGAGGAACUGGAGGUCCUCUGGCCACUGGUAACAUCUACGGGCCUUGACUCUGGGCCUCUUGAUGGGCAGAAGCACAAGGAGGGGGGCAGGGAUCUCAGGCUAUAGGUGGCAUCUGAGACCCUGCCCACACUCACUGUCUGCACCCAGCCUGGCAGGGUCAGUCCUCUGUAAGUAUGCAGGGACAGAACCCAAGGGCUAGGCACGAUGGCUUCCUCUUUGCUGGUCCCCAAGAGCUGGCUGCCAGACUCUGCCUCUCCUAAUAGCCAAAGCAUCACCAGGCUUCCUGCUCUCUCAACCGACGGGGCACAGGGAGGGGUGAUGAGGCCAGGUCAGGCUGUCACUUUCCAGUUCCUCCUCCUCUUUGAGCUGUGUUCGUGGGCCGGUCUACCCUGGGUGCAGCUCCAGUUGGGCAGAUUCUCCAUAGGUUCUUCUUCUACACCUCUGGCCCAGGGAAAGUACCACCCUCUCAGAAGCCUCGACCCUGCUCAUACCUGGUUUUUUGUUUGUUGUUGUUGUUGUUGUUGUUGUUUUUCUGUGUAAUUUCCCUUCUGUUGCUUGUGCCUACUAAGUCUUGAAGGUAGGAUGUCAGCUAAGAUACAGAAAGCCUAGUUAAGAUUUAAUUUCAGAAAAAAACACGAUUGCAGCGUAAGGAUAUCCCUGAAGUUGCAUAGGAUAUGCGUGUGCUAAACAAUUACCUGCUGCUUACCGAAUUUCCCCUCACCUGACUGGGUAGCCGGCAUUUUGUUUUCAUUUGAAAUCCUAUUUUCAGGGACCCUGACUGAUGUGCCUUAGGUCACAGGAAACUGCUACAACCCUUGAUGACAGAACAGGCAGGCUCAGAAGCCCAGGCCCCCAAAGCAUGGAGGCAGUGUGGGUGGCUUAACGAAAAAUGAAGACAGGGCUGCUCCUAAGUAUGGCUGAGCAGAAGGUCGUUCUUGUAGAUACGAGGAAAGGCACAGCCAGAGGCGUCUGGGCCAGUCCAGACUGGACAGAGCCAUGACAGAAAGGGGGUUGGUGGUGAGAGAAGAGAAAACAGAGAGAGGAGGAAAGAGGGCAAGCCGACCAAGAGAGACACCAAGGAAGGGCAUGAACAAAAUGGCUGGAUGAUACAGGAGUCAGAAGCUGAGGGAAGGGAAGCCCAGCCUCUGGGUUGGAAGGGUUUAGGAUACAGCAGUGGAAGGCUUUCCUGGGGACAGGAUCCAUGGUCUAACGGUAGGGGUAGGGAAUAAGGAGAUAGGAGAGUAAGAAGAUCAGUCAAGACAUGCCUCUCCACAGCCUAGCUUCAUCCCCAGAAUGCCAUGGGACAAUAGGGACAGACCCAGAAGCAGGCACUGGCUGUCGGCAGUGGUGUGGCACACUAGGAAGCUAGAGGGUGGGGUGGGAACACUUGGAGCCCUUCUGUGGACAGUAAGCUGGCUUUGGUGUCACCUCCUAGGUAUGUGACUCUCUAGGCUUCAGUCUCUCACCCUGUACAGGGCUCGGCCUGCUGACGACACUCAGAGACCUGGGGUCAGAGGCAGACAGAACCAAAGACCCUGCUUUUGAACUCACCGGGAUUGGUUGCUGGGACAAAUGAAUUCCAUGACGCACUACGGUGCAAGCGCCACGGAAUGUUUAAACUCCUUAAAAGUUUCCACACACCGGCUCUCCUUGAUUCGUUUCCACACACUGGCUCUCCUUCCACGGAUUCAAAGCCCUGGCUGCUCCUGUGUAUGCUUCUGCUGUCUGACAGACGUGGGUAUCCCUCAGCUGUGCCGUCUGUCUAUUAACCGGAAGAGGCAAGCGCUGGAGAAGGCAUGACAGGGCCAUUUUCUCACUGACCUCGCUCCACAUAAGCCACUUCAGGCCAGAUCUUGGAAGCCAGACAAGAAAGGGGGCUCAGUUGUUGAAGGAUCCACUGUGCUCAGGAGAAAUGCUAGCCCAGGCUCCCAAGGACCGCUAGGAGGACCCAGAGAGGAAGUCACCACCGUCAUUGCUCCAAUGAGGUCUAUAUGGUUCCUGCUUGGCUUCAGCAUUGCCCGGGGUGGUGAGGUACACAGCUGAUGGCCACAUACACAGCCCAGGGAGCUGGCCUCAGUGAUCCUGACGAUGAGGAGGCAAACACACAGAUGC